UUUUUUUUUUUUUCUUUCCUCAUUUUAUUUGCAUCCAGAGCAUGGCGGGCUGCGGGCUGUCGGAAGACACCUUCUUCUCUUCCUUCUUUUACAACUACGGCUCCUCCUGGGAAACCCCUUCCAACCAGGUUUUUUGCGAAAAUCAGUGAACUAAUAUUGGUAAAAUUGGAGCCCCAUGGAUGAAGGGUACUUUUCUGCCCCUGAACUGCCCUCGCUGCCGCUUUGGUAAAGGCUUGCAACGAAAGAGUAACAGCCACUGGCGAAUCCAGUUUGUGCAAGCAGCAUCAGCAAUGGAUGAGACCUCCCCCAGGCUGGAAGAAGACUGGAAAAAAGGACUUCAGCGAGAAGCGAGCUGGCAGAUGAUGUGGGCAAGAUGGAUCCGUAUCAGAAAACAGCCUUUGAGUCAGAAGAGCUGCAGAGCCUCAACGCGUUAAUUGCCAACCACCUAAAGUGUAUAAAGAAUGACAUUUUAUGCUACCUUGUUCAUCAUAUUUUUAGAAAGACUAUGUGAUAGAUUAAUAAAACAUAGCAAAUCUUCUAUGCAAACCAAAUGUUUAUAAUAAAUGGAGCAUAAUCUAACUGUUCUGCUAUAAAAUGAAUUAAAGUAGUCUCUAGCCAGUAAAUUCAAAAAGAAUAGAGUAGGAUGGUUAGGUGACCUUAACAGGCAAGCAUUUUACUAUUGAAUACAUAAUUGCCUUUCAAAUGGUCCUCCCCUGUCAGGAUGGAGUGGGUUCAAAGUAACAGUGGAGUCUUUUCUUUAGCUGGUAGUAGCAAAACUGGCUGCAAAUUGGAUGCUUAGUGGCUGGGGGAUGGGGGCUAACUAUAGCCACUCAUAUCUGAAUGGAGACCUUCUAUAAAUCCAACUGAAAAUACUGUCAUUUUAAUGUAAUUCUCUGCCCUGUUGUACUAUGUACUAGUAGUUUUUUAAACUUAGUUUGGCACCUAUAGUAUGUGAAUAG